UACGGGGGGAGCAAGCGUUGUUCGGAUUUACUGGGCGUAAAGGGCGCGUAGGCGGCCACCGCAAGUCGGUUGUGAAAUCUCUGGGCUUAACCCAGAAAGGUCAACCGAUACUGCGGGGCUAGAGUGCAGAAAGGGCAACUGGAAUUCUCGGUGUAGCGGUGAAAUGCGUAGAUAUCGAGAGGAACACCUGCGGCGAAGGCGGGUUGCUGGGACGGUACUGACGCUGAGGCGCGAAAGCGUGGGGAGCAAACAGG
rnacentral:rRNA from 1 species